rnacentral:rRNA from 1 species
GAGUAACGCGUGGGUAACCUGCCCUAUACACAUGGAUAACAUACUGAAAAGUUUACUAAUACAUGAUAAUAUAUAUUUACGGCAUCGUAGAUAUAUCAAAGUGUUAGCGGUAUAGGAUGGACCCGCGUUUGAUUAGCUAGUUGGUGAGAUAACUGCCCACCAAGGCGACGAUCAGUAGCCGACCUGAGAGGGUGAUCGGCCACAUUGGAACUGAGACACGGUCCAAACUCCUACGGGAGGCAGCAGCU